rnacentral:rRNA from 1 species
UACGUAGGGCGCAAGCGUUGUCCGGAAUUAUUGGGCGUAAAGAGCUCGUAGGCGGCUUGUCGCGUCGAUUGUGAAAGCCCGGGGCUUAACUCCGGGUCUGCAGUCGAUACGGGCAGGCUAGAGUGUGGUAGGGGAGAUCGGAAUUCCUGGUGUAGCGGUGAAAUGCGCAGAUAUCAGGAGGAACACCGGUGGCGAAGGCGGAUCUCUGGGCAGUAACUGACGCUGAGGAGCGAAAGCGUGGGGAGCGAACAGG